rnacentral:tRNA from 1 species
CGGGUCAUAGCGCAGUCUGGUAGCGCAUCCGUCUGGGGGACGGAAGGUCGUGGGUUCAAAUCCCGCUGACCCGACCA